AUGCAACAAAUAUCCGAACAUCGCGGCACACCCAAAAACAGGGGCGCCGCACAUCCCCAAUGUUUCACCGGCGAGGUGCUGGACCAUGAAUUUCCAGCGGGAUUCAAGCCCGUAAACAUAGAGGCAUACGACGGAACAACAGAUAAUGGAGUCUGGAUUGAGGAUUAUAUCCUCCACAUACACAAGGCUAGAGGAGAUGACCUCCACGCCAUAAAAUACUUACCCCUCAAGCUCAAGGGGCCAGCCCGGCAUUGGCUCAAAAGCCUUCCCAAAAACACCAUAGGAAGUUGGGAAGAGCUCGAAGAUGCUUUUCGGGCAAAUUUUCAAGGGACCUAUGUC
rnacentral:rRNA from 1 species